rnacentral:rRNA from 1 species
GUCUAGGCCAUACCACCCUGAAGGCGCCCAAUCUCAUCUGAUCUUGGAAGCUAAGUAGGGUCGGGCCUGGUUAGUACUUGGAUGGGAGAUUUUGUACUAUGGAAA